rnacentral:rRNA from 1 species
UACGUAGGGCGCAAGCGUUAUCCGGAAUUAUUGGGCGUAAAGAGCGUGUAGGCGGCCAUACAGGUCAGCUGUGAAAACUCGAGGCUCAACCUCGAGACGUCGGUUGAAACCGUAUGGCUAGAGUCCGGAAGAGGAGAGUGGAAUUCCCGGUGUAGCGGUGAAAUGCGCAGAUAUCGGGAAGAACACCCGUGGCGAAGGCGGCUCUCUGGGACGGUACUGACGCUGAGACGCGAAAGCGUGGGGAGCGAACAGG